UGGGGAAUAUUGCACAAUGGGGGAAACCCUGAUGCAGCAACGCCGCGUGAGUGACGAAGGCCCUUGGGUUGUAAAGCUCUUUCGGCUCGAAAGAAGGGGUGGUAGGUUAAUACCCUUCCACUUUGACGGUACGAGAAGAAGAAGCACCGGCUAACUCCGUGCCAGCAGCCGCGGUAAUACGGAGGGUGCAAGCGUUGUUCGGAUUGACUGGGCGUAAAGGGCAUGCAGGCGGUUGUCUAAGUUAGAUGUGAAAUCCCAGGGCUCAACCUUGGAAUUGCAUCUAAGACUGGACAUCUUGAAUGUUUGAGAGGUUAGCGGAAUUUGUGGUGUAGGAGUGAAAUCCGUAGAUA
rnacentral:rRNA from 1 species